AGAACAUCAAUAAUUUUGUGGUUGGUUCUUCUGUGUGAGCUCAGCUGCUGUAUAACUGACCUUGCAUCUUGUGAAUGGAAUACUGAAUCAUGUUCAUUUAAAGCUCUAUCUGUCUGUGAAGAAAAAACCCAUCAAGGCACUAAAAGAUCUGUAACACUUAUUACUGGAAAUUAAAACAUAAAUCUGUUAUAUUCUGACAAAGUCCAGGUGAUAUCAACAAUGAAUUCUUCAAGGAGAAUACAUUCUCUCCGUGCCCACAGACCGAGAGUUCCUGUUAACUAUGCGGACAGCUGGCAGAAUCCCUCCUGUAGCUGUGCAGAACAAUGGUGUAUAGACGAAUUAGCCACAUACCUACUAAUCACUCUGAUUGUUGUAAUUGCACUGUGGGGAGCAUGGGCAAAAAAAGACGUUUAUGCAUAAGACUUCACUGGAUUUGGACUGUAAACUCAUGAUGGACAUUUUGUUAAACUGCGGUACAUGUUGAGCGCGUGUAAGGCAUACUGUGAUACUCUACUGAGCAAGCUGAAUUAUUUGCUUUCAGUUUGGCGUUGGUUGCUGAAGAAAACUGUAUAUUCUAAUCUUCAAAGUUCUAUUUGAAGAAUCUUUAUAUAUAUAUUUAUUUUAAAACAUUUGUCGAGAUGAAUCCUGCUCUGUUGUAAGGAAGUGUGAUAAUUGUGUGACAUAAGUGAUAUAAGAGAGUGACAUGAAUGUUUACAAUACUCCUUGCAGUGUGUCAAUAAAAUGACAUCCAUUUA